AGCAGCCGCGGUAAUUCCAGCUCCAAUAGCGUAUAUUAAAGUUGUUGCAGUUAAAAAGCUCGUAGUUGAAUUUCGGGAUUAGUACGCUGGUCGUGCCUUCGGUAUGUACUGGUGUUACUGGUUCCUACCUUCUGACGAACUGUCAUGUCAUUAAUUUGGUGUGGCGGGGAAUCAGGACUGUUACUUUGAAAAAUUAGAGUGUUUAAAGCAGGCUCGCGCUUGAAUACAUUAGCAUGGAAUAAUGAAAUAGGACGUUCGAUCCUAUUUUGUUGGUUUCUAGGAUUGACGUAAUGAUUAAUAGGGAUAGUUGGGGGCAUUAGUAUUCAAUUGUCAGAGGUGAAAUUCUUGGAUUUAUUGAAGACUAACUACUGCGAAAGCAUUUGCCAAGGAUGUUUUCAUUAAUCAAGAACGAAAGUUAGGGGAUCGAAGACGAUCAGAUACCGUCGUAGU
rnacentral:rRNA from 1 species